GAUGAAGAACGUAGCGAAAUGCGAUAACUAAUGUGAAUUGCAGAAUUCAGUGAAUCAUCGAGUCUUUGAACGCACAUUGCGCCCUCUGGUAUUCCGGAGGGCAUGCCUGUCCGAGCGUCAUUAUAACCACUCAAGCUCUCGCUUGGUAUUGGGGUUCGCGGUCUCGCGGCCCCUAAAAUCAGUGGCGGUGCCUGUCGGCUCUACGCGUAGUAAUACUCCUCGCGAUUGAGUCCGGUAGGUGACUUGCCAGCAACCCCCAAAUUUUUCAGGUUGACCUCGGAUCAGGUAGGGAUACCCGCUGAACUUAAGCAUAUCAAUAAGCGGAGGA
rnacentral:misc_RNA from 1 species